AUUGAACGCUGGCGGCAGGCCUAACACAUGCAAGUCGAGCGGAGCGACGGACGGGUGAGUAAUGCCUAGGAAUCUGCCUGGUAGUGUGGGAUAACGUACGGAAACGGGCGCUAAUACCGCAUACUAACAGAUGAGCCUAGGUCGGAUUAGCUAGUUGGUGGGGUAAAGGCCUACCAAGGCGACGAUCCGUACCUGGUCUGAGAGGAUGAUCAGUCACCCUGGAACUGAGACACGGGCCAGACUCCUACGGGAGGCCGCAGUGGGGAAUAUUGGAAAAUGGGCGAAAGCCGGAUCCAGCCAUGCCGCGGUUGGGAAGAAGGUCUUCGGAUUGUAAAGCACUUUAAGUUGGGAGGCGUUACCAACAGAAUAAGCACCGGCUAACUUCGUGCCAGCAGCCGCGGUAAUAC
rnacentral:rRNA from 1 species